UGGAUCAGUGGUGACAAAUGGACGCGUGUGAGUCAUCUGUGAGGUGUGUCUCGUCACUGGAACUCCUGUGUCCAG
rfam:Cavia porcellus supercont2_111 genomic scaffold, whole genome shotgun sequence.